AGAUCAUUUUGGGGUAAAUUUCGAAGUAAUUCCUUGUAACGCUCCCAUGCUUCGUAAAGUGAUUCACCCGGUUGUUGCUCAAAAAUUGGCUAUCGCCUUCUUGAGUUU